GGAUCACUGCUAUGAACCAGACGGCCCCCUCGCCCAGACCAGCACAGCGGCACUGCUUGGAUUAACUCUAGGGCAUGACUGCACUUCUCAUCCUGGUGUGAAACAGACAGUGCCAGCUCUUGCAUCAAACAGCAGAUUUGGUAGCAAAUAGUCAUGACUUGCAACUGGGGAUCAGAGAAGGCGGUGGACAUUGGGUUGAAAUCUUCUAUCACAAUUGCUUCGUGUGGCAUCUCAUCAACAAGGUGCUUCAACCCAGAGUGGACUUGAAACACAGGCUAAAGAAUGUUUUCCCUGAGACAGAUGCAUGAGCAGAGUAAUUCUUCCCAUUUACAGACCAUUCUGUGGCUGCUAAUAAAAGGCCUGGCUCUGCAAAAGU